UAAAGAGGUCUCAAGCGUUGAUCGGAUUCAUUGGGCGUAAAGGGUGCGUAGGCGGCGGGGCAAGUCAGGUGUGAAAUCUCGGGGCUCAACCCCGAAACUGCACUUGAUACUGCCCUGCUAGAGUACUGGAGAGGAGAUUGGAAUUUACGGUGUAGCAGUGAAAUGCGUAGAUAUCGUAAGGAAGACCAGUGGCGAAAGCGAAUCUCUGGACAGUUACUGACGCUGAGGCACGAAGGCCAGGGGAGCAAACGGG
rnacentral:rRNA from 1 species